ACUGCUUCUUGGCCUCUUGGCUAGAAUCAAAUGUAAUAUCUGCUCUCAUUAUGUAAAUAUAUGAUAUGUCCACUAUCCAGGACAAUAUCUUAAAUAAGUUGUUGGAGUUUGGAGACAGAAUGGUAGACUAAGGAGCUUGUUCCAUCCACUCUAUGGAAGGACCUGAAAUUGAAGUAUUUCUACAAACAGUACACUUCUC
ensembl:snRNA LOC120094516 U2 spliceosomal RNA